UCACAAGCUUCUCAUUCAUUCAAGCGUUAUUUUCCUCUCUCACUUCUAUCAAAUCUGGGUUUCCUUUUCUUCCCUCUUCAUCACCGUAAUAUCAUUAUCAUUGGAGUUUCUUUUCUUCCUCCUUCGUCAUCCUAUGUAAACCCUAACACACCAGUUCUUCAAGGAUUACUGAUUCAUUCUAAAGGAAUGGCGGAUCUUUCAAAUGCCGUUUUUCUAUGAGCAACAGAGUCCCAAUCAUGGUGAAUGCAAAGAUGCUGAAGAUAGCCUCAGUCAGGUUGGUGACCAAGACGAAAAGCUGGCAGAAGGUAUCAAGCUUUAGCUGGGGUGUUCGAGAGAUUUACCGAGAGACCAAUCAAAGCUGUGAUGUUGUUGAUAGUUCGGGUUCGGCUACGGAUGUGGCGUUUUCGAAUAGUACGGAAAGGGUGUUUGAAGUUGCGGUUGAGUAUUUAAGAACUAUGGGGUAUAAGUUUAUUGCUCCUAAACAUAUUGUUAUUGGUUUGUUGACUGUUGAUGAUGGUAGUGCUGGUCGUGUUCUUCAAAAGUUAGGAGCAAAUUUGAACGAGUUAGCUUAUGUUGCAGUGUCUUCGAUCGUGGGGUUCGGGUUUAGGUAUAUGCAUUUAGCAUCUCUGAUCAGGUGCUGGCGAAGAGAGUAACCAGGCACGUGAGCUUUCUUUCUAAGAGCCUAGCGGUUCAAGAUGUGUAGUAAUAGCGUUUCUUUAAAGGACUGCUCUGACAGUUGUGGGAUUUAAAGUACGGGAAUGCUAUUACAUGGUUUGAAGUUCAAGAAGGCCAGUUCCAACACAUAGAUUUUCAUCCAAGUGAGUGAGUUCUUGAUGGCUACAGCCACGCCCCAAAGGAGUGUUGUGGCGUUACUUACACUAAAAAGCGCAAGGCUGGUCAAGUUUAUGGAGUCUCUCUAACUGGUAAUUUAUUGAGUAAGUCCGGUGUUUUUGCAGAACAGAACAAGUAGUUAAAAAAAUAUGUUUGCCGAUUUAAGGAAUCUUGCAAAAUAUACCACUCAUGUUGCUGGUAUGACCCCCUCCCUAUUUGUCUCUUAUUGUUGGUAAUUGAUUUAUUUUGCAAGAUAAACAGCCAACAUAUUUCCAGUAUAAACAACCACCUUUUAAGUAAGACACCAAUAUUAUUAGAAAAUCUCAUCUUAUUUCCUAUGUAAGCCAUUAUCACAUGUCCACCACAAAAAAAAAUAUGUUUAUUGAAAAAUCACCAAUUUUAUCUUCCUUUAACUAUUGUUAACUGAUAUGUCAAUAUAAUAGCUUCAUUACUUGAAAAUUAAUUUUUUUGGAACAAUAUGUUUUCACUAAUAGUCGGUUGUAUGUGUCGCUUUAUCAAGAGUAAAAACCAGAAAUGGAGUCAAAAAACUACUGAUAUUAGACAAGGAUGACAAACCGACAGAUGAAACAACAAAUGUCGCGUAUAAAGAAGUCUUUAAAAGUUGUGAUUUUUUUUUCAUUUAUUUCAUUUAUUAAGUGUAAAUUAUAUUUACGUUAGUAUCGAAACUAUUCUAAUUUGUUUCUUAAAAAGACAUUUUUGGGUUUACACAUAUGUAAGCAAAGUUUUAUAUGAACUAAUAUGAAUUUAAAUAAGAAUUUAGAUAUUGAAGUUUAUAUAAACUUGAUGUCAAUCAAAAGAUGAAAACCAUGACCUUUCGUUGAUCUAUUAAAGGUUCGCUGGUAUGUAACAGGUUUUUGGAGAGGGAAGUGAUCACUCUGUUCGGUUAUGGGUUUGUACCGGUUAGGGUCGUGUAUUGUCUGUUUGGGACCUGUUUCAACCCUUAGACGUGAAGCCUAAGUUUGGAAAGGCCGAAAAAAAGUGAUGACCUACAUGAGCUUCAAUACCAAUAGAUAUUAUAUAUUUAUGUUUAACCACCCGCGAAACUCGCGGGAUCUUAGGCUAGUUUUUAUUUUAUAUAGAGAAACGGGGCCAACCAAAUAGGAGUCCCAACAACAAAACACAUUACAAUAUGAGAUCUUGCACAUUAAAAUCAUACUAUCUCUCCUCAUCUAGGCUUUAUAUUUUAUAUAUAGAAACGGGGCCAACCAAAUAGGAGUCCCAACAACAAAACACAUUACAAUAUGAGAUCUUGCACAUUAAAAUCAUACCAUCUCUCCUAAUCUAGGCUAACAAAUGAAGAUCUAUUUUAUAGUCACCAAAAAAAAAUCUUCUUUGAUAGCCUCCACCACUUUCUUUAACGAAAAGGGAACAUUAUCAAAAGAUAGCCUUUUUCGAGUCUUCCAUAUUCUCCAAAAAAAAGUCGAGUUGAAAAUAACGUACAACACCUUUUUCCUGUUUAAUGAUUCUUUAAGCUUGUCAAUGCAUGCUCUCUAGAAGAUCUUGGACAGAAGCAACAUUCAUCAUACAAGGAGCUUCAACCACAUGCAAAUAUGCCACCAAAUGGCUUUAAUAGUUAAACAAGAGGCUGCCAAGUGGUCCAUAGUUAUUUUUUUAAAUAGCAAUUGAAACUAACUCCAAUAUUCGAGUAAGACUUUUUAAGACGGGAUGUUAACCGU